UGCUAUCAAUAAGCGGAGGAAAAGAAACCAACAGGGAUUGCCCUAGUAACGGCGAAGUGAAGCGGCAACAGCUCAAAUUUGAAAUCUGGCUCUUUUAGAGUCCGAGUUGUAAUUUGCAGAGGGCGCUUUGGCUUUGGCAGCGGUCCAAGUUCCUUGGAACAGGACGUCACAGAGGGUGAGAAUCCCGUACGUGGUCGCUGGCUAUUGCCGUGUAAAGCCCCUUCGACGAGUCGAGUUGUUUGGGAAUGCAGCUCUAAAUGGGAGGUACAUUUCUUCUAAAGCUAAAUAUUGGCCAGAGACCGAUAGCGCACAAGUAGAGUGAUCGAAAGAUGAAAAGCACUUUGGAAAGAGAGUCAAACAGCACGUGAAAUUGUUAAAAGGGAAGCGCUUGCAGCCAGACUUGCUUACAGUUGCUCAUCCGGGCUUUUGCCCGGUGCACUCUUCUGUAGGCAGGCCAGCAUCAGUUUGGGCGGUAGGAUAAAGGUCUCUGUCACGUACCUCCUUUCGGGGAGGCCUUAUAGGGGAGACGACAUACUACCAGCCUGGACUGAGGUCCGCGCAUCUGCUAGGAUGCUGGCGUAAUGGCUGUAAGCGGCCCGUCUUGAAACACGGACCAAGGAGUCUAACAUCUAUGCGAGUGUUUGGGUGUCAAGCCCGAGCGCGUAAUGAAAGUGAACGGAGGUGGGAACCCGCAAGGGUGCACCAUCGACCGAUCCUGAUGUCUUCGGAAGGAUUUGAGUAAGAGCAUGGCUGUUGGGACCCGAAAGAUGGUGAACUAUGCUUGAAUAGGGUGAAGCCAGAGGAAACUCUGGUGGAGGCUCGCAGCGGUUCUGACGUGCAAAUCGAUCGUCAAAUUUGGGCAUAGGGGCGAAAGACUAAUCGAACUAUCUAGUAGCUGGUCUGC
rnacentral:rRNA from 1 species